GUAACAAAGCCAGCUUCACUUUGAGAGAACCUAGAUGCUAAUUGUAAAGAAGCUUGGAGUCAUAAUAUAUUUAAACGUUAUAUGUUUGCUGUUCUUCAUCUUUUUAAAUAUGAAGUCUAUUCAUGUUUAUGUUUACAGAGGUCAUGUACACUGUGGUCAACUUUGUGGACGCUGAAGAGGUUUCUGGGUAAAGAUGAUAGAAAUAUAAUGAAGUAACAGUGGAGGCAAAACAUCAGACUGAUCCAGACACUGAAGAAAUUGAUGUCACUGCAAUCUGGCCAAAAUGAUACAACUAUAUUGAACUAGCCUACUGUAAUGAAGCUGCAGAACAACACAGAGACUCUGAGGACAUCAACACAGAAAAUGAAG